GAAAUAACGUGUACGUCAUUUAUAAAAUUCGCUAGUGGUUAGUCAAGAAGUAGUCGCCAGCGAACAAGCCAUCUCCGGAGCUUUUCAGGAGACCGAUUUUGCGAUAUCGCCGUCCGAGAAUGAGGAUGCUGGCUGUGGCUGUCGUCGUCCUGGCCAUCCUGAUGAUGACUUCAGGACACACAAGAUCUGGAUCGAAUUCCAACGAGAAUGAAGCCAAGGGAAAAAACAAGCAGUGGAACCUCAAGUAUAUGGAAGAAGCUGUUGAACCUUUUCUGGAGCGCUUUAAGUCGAGCAUGUUGGAAUUAGCGCGUAAAAUUUGGAGUUAUCUGAACUAAGGAGACUUUGAUGUGCCGACAUCCCCAUUUUAGAGUGGGAAUGUUUUCGAAAUUGUCGCUUAUCAAUACAUAUAUGAACGCUGUCGGGGUAGAUAAAACUGCUACUGACCGUGCCAGUCUCCAUUUUAUUUCUAAUUGACAGUUCGUUAGACUUCUUACAUGCUGAUUAAAAAUGUGGUGGAGCUGGCAUAGGAUGAACACGCCCGCGUUGUGAGCGGCGAUGAAAUAAAUGGUGAAAUAAACCAAUUUUGUUCAUAUACUAA